UUCACGAGCACACACAGACCUCACCCUUUGUCCGUGGGAGGGACCAGGACGGGUAGCACUGCUCUUUCAAAUGGCUUUGACGUGCAAAUUAGGUACUCUGCACAGGGCUUCUUUUCUGAAAAGCUUCCCCCAGCAGGCCUUGCUGGGAAAGGCUGCCUUCUCCCUUGGCUGCUGAUUUGGGAAAGCACCUGGGCCAGGGUUAGUUCAGGAGAGCUUGAAUGGCUGCAGACAGUUCCAGUUGGUCUGUUACGUGAGUUUGUUUGUAGAUGAGAAGUUCCCCCAUGGGAUGUGCUGAAAGUAUCCCUGGAGAACACAGAGCUCCUGAAGCAGACUUCCUUCAUGUCCCCUCAUGGAAAGUCAGUUCCCUCUGCCAUUCCAGGCCUGCGUCACACUGGCCACCAACCACUCGUGUGUGCACAUGAAAGGUGGAGUGUAGCAAGGCUUUAUGAAGCCCCAGAAAAGGGGAUCAGAUAGCUGGAUAUUUUUCUUUUCCCCUUCUGCGUGUCAUUUAAUGAUGGUGUCCAUGCUCGCAACAGUCUGCCAGGAUCUUCAGUUGUAGGUGAUGAAUGUAUGUCUAUGUCCCAUGCGACUUGAACCCCAAGCUGUAAAACGCAAGCAUUAUAUCCUUAAACUACAAGAGUUCCCUUUAUAGAUUUUCAGCUUGCUAAUUGUGGGGCUUCCUACCAUGCACAGGGCCUGAUCCUAAUUAGCUUCUGACACUAGACACACUCGGUGUAAUAUGGCUAGAGCUACACUUGCUGACUCUGGAUAAAGCUAAGGUCUGCUUCCCCUUCAUCUACGUGCACUUUUGAAUGUCCCUGGCCCUGGGAUGCUCUAUGAGUAGCGUAAUGCUGCCUGAGAGGAAGGGGAAGACUGUGUUCUCAGAGUGACAUGUUCCUUUAUCCAAGAGGCUUCACGGGAGAGAAUCAGACCAAAAUAGAAAGAAAAAAGAAAAAAAGGAAAAGAACCCACAGCGCAUCCAAGGAGUUCUAAGGUUGUUCUUAUUGUAGCUACAGAAAUUGUGAGUCUGGCUUUAAGCAAUCAAUAAAUCAAAUAUAACAUCUAAGGUAAUUUCAGAGCAUUCCCUGAGAAACUGGGCUCACCCGGCUGCUCCUCUAUCACUUAAAACAGAGUCCUUUGUCUUUGGGGUGGCUGAGGAGCUAUGAAAGCAAUUGCAGUGCAAGCCGUCAGAUAAAGCAAACUCAAUUCCAGUCCAGUAAUGAUGAGGUAGCCACCGCAUGGAACCACUUUUAGAUUGGCUUUGAGUAAACUCAGACGAAGAAAAGCUCUCUAUCAGAGAGAGAGAGAGAGAGAGAGAGAGAGAGAGAGAGAGAGAGAGAGAGAGAGAUCCACCUUUCUUGACAAUGUACAGAAAUCAAAGGGAAUUGGGUUCUGGCCCGGACACUAGUAAACCACUUCUGUUUCCAUAAUGACUUCUUUACAUUAUUGAAUACAAUGGGAAUUUUAAGGGCAACUGCAAUAACAGUUACUCAUGAAAAAUUAACAAAGAAUUUAUGGAAAUGUGGGAAAAGUCCCAAAGCAAUUAGCUUAGAUUUCUCUGGAGUCCUAAGAAAGCCUGCAUAAUUGCCUGCAGAACCUGUGUAAAGUGGCUAUUUUCAUUAUCGCUGGUUACAGAGAGUCCAUUUCCAUCACAACGGGAUAUAAUGACGUUAAAGCUAACACACAGAGAUGUUGGGAAAGGUUACAACACGACUUACCAAAAUGGUUUGAUUUAUGGAACACGGGAGCGACACACUUGAGGUGACUGUUAUGGGGACUGGAGGGGUCGACCUUGAGUAUCCAAAGGCUGCAUCGGAUAAACAAAUGUACCGUAGCAUCUGAAAGCUAAUUACACACCGUGCCAGAACGCACAGAGUGAGUUUAAUUUGUCUCACAAUUGGAAGGAAGCUGAACUGGACUUCAAGCUGGCGUGUGAGCCUCGUUCUGACUCGUCUCUUUUGUUAGGUGGCUAUCGUAGCACACGUUUAUACAUGUGUGUGGGAGGGGCAUUUCCUCCUUGCAAUGACUUAGAACCUCUAUGCUCCUGGUACCCUGAGGAACCAGAAUCAGCCUGCCCAGACUCUGCAGAGUCCUUCCUACACCUUCAGAGAGAGGAUACAUAAUUGUUUAAAUGUCACUCUUUUUUAGUCAAAGGAAUCGAAAUAGAAAGGAGCGCCAUCUUAUCAAGUUCAUUCAUGCAUAUUAGAGUAGCACAGCCCCUCCCAAGGCCAAAAGAGCCAGUUUGCAUUGCUAGCUAUAAAAAUGGGGAGAGAAGAACAUCAUUUACACUCUUACCAACCCUCAGUUUCCACUGCAAUCUCUCUCUCUUUCUACCUCUCCCUUUCCCUCCUCCCCUCUCUGUCUCUGUCUCUGUCUUUCUGUCUCUCCCCCUCCCCCACACAUACACUCAAUGGGGGGUGGGGGACAAAUCUGGGUAUCUUUUUCUCUCUAUAAGAACCAACAGUGAAGGCUUUCCCUUGGAUUUGAAUGAUUUUUUUGAAACCGUUAAAUAGAUUUGUGCUCUGAAGCCCACGGAAUAUUAAUAACUUUCAUUAGCUGCAGACUUGAAAGGACCAUACACGCUCAAUCUUACUUGGUAAACAGUCUCUGUGUCAGAAGAGAAAAGGAAGAUGGAGAUUAUUUAAGUGUUUCCAACAAAAACCUCAGCACAGGUCCUUCUCCAAAUGGACACUGCUGCCUAGGGACAAAUGUCAACACAGUUCAAGCUUUGUUCAAGGACCUGAAAGGCUCCACCAGUCUGCACAGGGGCACACUUAAGGGGAAGCAUUAAGAAAAUCAAUCUAAAAUAACACCGCCACAUUCACAUCCCAAGCUGGCCGAUACACUUCCAGCAGAUGUGACAAUCAUAUUUUGACAGUUCCGAUAGCUGAUAACGGAUGGCAAAAAAAAGGGGGGAAAUAUUCUAUUUGACGUGGGCCCCAUGUUUACACAAUUACAGCCUUGCUGUUUGCCUCAGCCACAUUAAGAAUGUAAAAAGCAAAGAGAGCAAACAGAAGCCAGGAUCUGGGUGUUAUCAAGGCACAGCGAUACAGGCGCCCAGCAGCCUGGUUCCCGGUCACUUCUAAUUUCCUUUUUCUUCGACAUCACACUGUAGCCAAAGGUUGAGGGGAGAAGAUCCCUGUAGUUCCCCUUGCUUCGGAGCUUGCCAUCUUUGGCUCGCCUCAUUGUCACCUCAAACACAUUUUUAAAAGCACAUUGUUCACCUGGUUAGAGAAAGCGAGCAAGGGAGGAUGAAUAGAAAGCCUUGUGGGUAAGCAGAGCUGUCUGGCAUUUCACUCAAGCGUAGCUUUGACAUUCAACACCCUUGUACCUGAAGCUCCUGGCCUGGGUCUAUUCAGGCAGGUCAAAUAAAGCUGUUUAAAACCACUU